CAGAAAUUGGGCUAAACCUUAUAUUAAAGAUGCUAAAGAAGUUUCCAGGUAUAUUGAGAUGAUUUCUUUGGAGCAAUUCUUGACAACAUUUGUAGUUGAGGCCUUUAGAAUGGAAGAAUGUAUUUCACUAAUUUUUGUAUACAUUUCUUGUUUUGUAUUUAGUGAUAAAACAAUCUGAAUUGGGCAUAAAUUAUGUUAUAAUAUGAUUUCUUAAGCCUAGACUAGUAGACUAAAUAUUGUAAUUACAUUUGAGUAAUUAAUAAAAGUCUAUUUAUGUUA